GACGAACGCUGGCGGCGUGCUUAACACAUGCAAGUCGAACGGUGAAGCGCCUUCCUUUUUGGUGGGCGUGGAUGAGUGGCGAACGGGUGAGUAACACGUGAGUAACCUGCCCCCUUCUUCUGGAUAACCGCAUGAAAGUGUGGCUAAUACGGGAUAUUCUGGGUCUGUCGCAUGAUGGGUCUGGGAAAGAUAUUGUUUCGGUGGGGGAUGGGCUCGCGGCCUAUCAGCUUGUUGGUGGGGUGAUGGCCUACCAAGGCGGUGACGGGUAGCCGGCCUGAGAGGGUGGACGGUCACACUGGGACUGAGACACGGCCCAGACUCCGACGGGAGGCAGCGGUGGGGAAUAUUGCACAAUGGGCGCAAGCCUGAUGCAGCGACGCCGCGUGAGGGAUGGAGGCCGUCGGGUUGUGAACCUCUUUCGCCAGUGAAGCAGGCCUGCCUCGUUUGUGGGUGGGUUGACGGUAGCUGGAUAAGAAGCGCCGGCUAACUACGUG
rnacentral:rRNA from 1 species